rnacentral:lncRNA from 1 species
UUGUUUUUGAAAAUAAGAUGUCGAAAGUCUGGUUUGAUAUUAUUAUGAAAACUGGUAUGAUGAUGUAUGAGAAAUUGAUUACAAUAAAAUUAUGAAAAAAACUCUCUAGUCGACUAUGAUUCAGAUCUAGCCAAUAAAACUGAUCAUUGGCCACACACUAGAAAUGUAUUUUUUUUGGGCCUAGCUAGUUGGGGCUGAUCAUUGGCAAAGCUAGUUUUUUUGAACCUAACUAGUCGGGGCU